rnacentral:rRNA from 1 species
GGACCCACAAAAAUAAAACCUUGACCUCAAAUCGGGUGAGACUACCCGCUGAACUUAAGCAUAUCAAUAAGCG